UACGUAGGGUCCAAGCGUUAUCCGGAAUCACUGGGCGUAAAGCGUACGUAGGCGGCGUGUUAAGUGAGAUGCGAAAUCCAACGGCUCAACCGUUUGGACUGUAUUUCAUACUGGCAUGCUUGAGGACAUGAGAGGCAAGUGGAAUUUGUAGUGUAGCAGUGAAAUGCGUAGAUAUUACAAGGAACACCAAUGGCGAAGGCAGCUUGCUGGCAUGUAUCUGACGCUGAGGUACGAAAGCGUGGGGAGCGAACAGG
rnacentral:rRNA from 1 species